rnacentral:rRNA from 1 species
GAUGAACGCUGGCGGCGUGCCUAAUACAUGCAAGUCGAGCGAACGGACGAGAAGCUUGCUUUUCUGAUGUUAGCGGCGGACGGGUGAGUAACACGUGGAUAACCUACCUAUAAGACUGGGAUAACUUCGGGAAACCGGAGCUAAUACCGGAUAAUAUUUUGAACCGCAUGGUUCAAAAGUGAAAGACGGUCUUGCUGUCACUUAUAGAUGGAUCCGCGCUGCAUUAGGUAGUUGGUAAGGUAACGGCUUACCAAGGCAACGAUGCAUAGCCGACCUGAGAGGGUGAUCGGCCACACUGGAACUGAGACACGGUCCAGACUCCUACGGGAGGCAGCAGUAGGGAAUCUUCCGCAAAGGGCGAAAGCCUGACGGAGCAACGCCGCGUGAGUGAUGAAGGUCUUUGGAUCGUAAAACUCUGUUAUUAGGGAAGAACAUAUGUGUAAGUAACUGUGCACAUCUUGACGGUACCUAAUCAGAAAGCCACGGCUAACUACGUG